GGGGAAUCUUCCGCAAUGGGCGAAAGCCUGAUGGAGCAACGCCGCGUGAGUGAAGAAGGUCUUCGGAUUGUAAAGCUCUGUCCUUAGGGAAGAACCGUGGGUAUAGAAAAUGAUAUCCACCUGACGGUACCUUUGGAGGAAGCACUGGCUAACUACGUGCCAGCAGCCGCGGUAAUACGUAGAGUGCAAGCGUUGUCCGGAAUUAUUGGGCGUAAAGGGUACGCAGGCGGAUAAUCAAGUCAAGCGUGAAAGGUGUCGGCUUAACCGACAGACUGCGUUUGAAACUGGUUAUCUUGAGUGUAACAGAGGAGAGUGGAAUUCCUAGUGUAGUGGUGAAAUACGUAGAUAUUAGGAAGAACACCAGUGGCGAAGGCGACUCUCUGGGUUAACACUGACGCUGAGGUACGAAAGCUGGGGGAGCGAAAGGGAUUAGAUACCCCUGUAGUC
rnacentral:rRNA from 1 species